UACGGAAGGGGCAAGCGUUGUUCGGAAUCAUUGGGCGUAAAGGGCGCGUAGGUGGCUCUGUGUGUCUACCGUGAAAGCGUACGGCUCAACCGUAUUUUUGUCGGUAGAAACUGCAGGACUUGAGGCUGGGAGGGGCUGGUGGAAUUCCCUGUGUAGCGGUGAAAUGCGUAGAGAUGGGGGAGAACACUCGUGGCGAAGGCGGCCAGCUAGACCAGUUCUGACACUGAGGCGCGACAGCGUGGGGAGCAAACAGG
rnacentral:rRNA from 1 species